rnacentral:rRNA from 1 species
GAUGAACGCUGGCGGCGUGCCUAAUACAUGCAAGUCGAGCGAACAGACGAGGAGCUUUCUCCUCUGACGUUAGCGGCGGACGGGUGAGUAAAACGUGGAUAACCUACCUAUAAGACUGGGGUAAAUUCGGGAAACCGGAGCUAAUACCGGAUAAUAUAUUGAACCGCAUGGUUCAAUAGUGAAGGACGGUUUUGCUGUCACUUAUAGAUGGAUCCGCGCCGCAUUAGCUAGUUGGUAAGGUAACGGCUUAGCAAGGCAACGCUGCGUAGCCGACCUGAGAGGGUGAGCGGCCCCCCUGGACCUGAGACACGGUCCAGACUCCUAUGGGACGCAGCAGUAGGGAAUCUUCCGCAAUGGGCUAAAGCCUGACGGAGCAACGCCGCGUGAGUGAUGAAGGUCUUCGGAUAGUAAAACUCUGUUAUUAGGGAAGAACAAAUGUGUAAGUAACUAUGCACGUCUUGACGGUACCUAAUCAGAAAGCCACGGCUAACUACGUG